rnacentral:rRNA from 1 species
GGGCCCGCACAAGCGGUGGAGCAUGUGGUUUAAUUCGAAGCAACGCGAAGAACCUUACCAGGUCUUGACAUCCUUUGACCACUCUAGAGAUAGAGCUUCCCCUUCGGGGGCAAAGUGACAGGUGGUGCAUGGUUGUCGUCAGCUCGUGUCGUGAGAUGUUGGGUUAAGUCCCGCAACGAGCGCAACCCUUAUUGUUAGUUGCCAUCAUUUAGUUGGGUCGACUCUAGCGAGAACUGCCGGUGGACAAACCGGAACGGAAGGUAGGGG